CCUACGGGAGGCAGCAGUGGGGAAUAUUGGACAAUGGGGGGAACCCUGAUCCAGCCAUGCCGCGUGUGUGAAGAAGGCCCUCGGGUUGUAAAGCACUUUCAGUGAGGAAGAACGCCUGGUGGUUAAUACCCAUCAGGAAAGACAUCACUCACAGAAGAAGCACCGGCUGAACUCCGUGCCAGCAGCCGCGGUAAUACGGAGGGUGCGAGCGUUAAUCGGAAUUACUGGGCGUAAAGCGCGCGUAGGUGGCUUGAUAAGCCGGUUGUGAAAGCCCCGGGCUCAACCUGGGAACGGCAUCCGGAACUGUCAAGCUAGAGUGCAGGAGAGGAAGGUAGAAUUCCCGGUGUAGCGGUGAAAUGCGUAGAGAUCGGGAGGAAUACCAGUGGCGAAGGCGGCCUUCUGGACUGACACUGACACUGAGGUGCGAAAGCGUGGGUAGCAAACAGGAUUAGAUACCCCGGUAGUC
rnacentral:rRNA from 1 species